rnacentral:rRNA from 1 species
UACGUAGGGACCAAGCGUUGUUCGGAUUUACUGGGCGUAAAGGGCGCGUAGGCGGCAAUUCAAGUCAGCUGUGAAAUCUCUGGGCUUAACCCAGAACGGCCAGCUGAUACUGCUUUGCUAGAGUGCAGAAGGGGCAAUCGGAAUUCUUGGUGUAGCGGUGAAAUGCGUAGAUAUCAAGGGGAACACCUGAGGUGAAGACGGAUUGCUGGGCUGACACUGACGCUGAGGCGCGAAAGCCAGGGGAGCAAACGGG